rnacentral:rRNA from 1 species
AGUGAACGCUGGCGGUAGGCCUAACACAUGCAAGUCGAACGGCAGCACAGUAAGAGCUUGCUCUUACGGGUGGCGAGUGGCGGACAGGUGAGGAAUACAUCGGAAUCUACUUUUUCGUGGGGGAUAACGUAGGGAAACUUACGCUAAUACCGCAUACGACCUACGGGUGAAAGCAGGGGAUCUUCGGACCUUGCGCGAUUGAAUGAGCCGAUGUCGGAUUAGCUAGUUGGCGGGGUAAAGGCCCACCAAGGCGACGAUCCGUAGCUGGUCUGAGAGGAUGAUCAGCCAAAAUGGAAAUGAGACACGGUCCAGACUCCUAAGGGAGGCAGCAGUGGGGAAUAUUGGACAAUGGGCGCAAGCCUGAUCAAGCCAUACCGCGUGGGUGAAGAAGGCCUUCGGGUUGUAAAGCCCUUUUGUUGGGAAAGAAAAGCAGCAGGUUAAUACCCCGCUGUUCUGACGGUACCCAAAGAAUAAGCACCGGCUAACUUCGUG